UACGUAGGGAGCAAGCGUUGUCCGGAAUCAUUGGGCGUAAAGCGCGCGUAGGCGGCCCUGUAAGUCCGUUGUGAAAGUCAAAGGCUCAACCUUUGAAAGCCGAUGGAUACUGCAGGGCUAGAGUCCGGAAGAGGCGAGUGGAAUUCCUGGUGUAGCGGUGGAAUGCGCAGAUAUCAGGAGGAACACCAAUAGCGAAGGCAGCUCGCUGGGACGGUACUGACGCUAAGGCGCGAAAGCGUGGGGGAGCGAACAG
rnacentral:rRNA from 1 species